rnacentral:rRNA from 1 species
UACGGAGGAUGCAAGCGUUAUUCGGAAUGAUUGGGCGUAAAGCGUGCGCAGGCGGCUAUGUAAGUCUGCUGUUAAAGAGUCUAGCUCAACUAGAUAAAAGCAGUGGAAACUACAUAGCUAGAGUACGUUCGGGGCAGAGGGAAUUCCUGGUGUAGCGGUGAAAUGCGUAGAGAUCAGGAAGAACACCAGUGGCUAAGGCGCUCUGCUAGGCCGUAACUGACACUGAGGGACGAAAGCUAGGGGAUCGAAUGGG